CAACUUUCAACAACGGAUCUCUUGGCUCUCGCAUCGAUGAAGAACGCAGCGAAAUGCGAUAAGUAAUGUGAAUUGCAGAAUUCAGUGAAUCAUCGAAUCUUUGAACGCACCUUGCGCCCCUUGGUAUUCCGAGGGGCAUGCCUGUUUGAGUGUCAUUA
rnacentral:rRNA from 38 species